rnacentral:rRNA from 1 species
ACGGCCCAGACUCCUACGGGAGGCAGCAGUGGGGAAUAUUGCACAAUGGGCGGAAGCCUGAUGCAGCGACGCCGCGUGAGGGAUGACGGCCUUCGGGUUGUAAACCUCUUUCGACAGGGACGAAGCGUAAGUGACGGUACCUGUAGAAGAAGCACCGGCCAACUACGUGCCAGCAGCCGCGGUAAUACGUAGGGUGCGAGCGUUGUCCGGAAUUACUGGGCGUAAAGAGCUUGUAGGCGGUUCGUCGCGUCGAUUGUGAAAACUUGCAGCUCAACUGCAAGCUUGCAGUCGAUACGGGCGGACUAGAGUACUUCAGGGGAGACUGGAAUUCCUGGUGUAGCGGUGAAAUGCGCAGAUAUCAGGAGGAACACCGGUGGYGAAGGYGGGUCUCUGGGAAGUAACUGACGCUGAGAAGCGAAAGCGUGGGUAGCGAACAGGAUUAGAUACCCUGGUAGUCCACGCCGUAAACGGUGGGUACUAGGUGUGGGUUUCCUUCCACGGGAUCCGUGCCGUAGCUAACGCAUUAAGUACCCCGCCUGGGGAGUACGGCCGCAAGGCUAAAACUCAAAG